AGCUCCAAUAGCGUAUAUUAAAGUUGUUGCGGUUAAAAAGCUCGUAGUUGGAUUUCUGUUGAGGACGGCCGGUCCGCACUAUGUGCGUGUAUCUGGUUCGGCCUCGGCAUCCUCUUGAGGAACGUUUCUGCGCUUGAUUGCGUGGAGCGGUAUUCAAGACUUUUACUUUGAGGAAAUUAGAGUGUUCACGGCAGGCAAGCGCCUUGAAUACAUUAGCAUGGAAUAAUAAUAUAGGAUCUUGGUUCUAUUUGUUGGUUUCUAGGGCUAAGGUAAUGAUUAAUAGGGAUAAUUGGGGGCAUUUGUAUUAACGCGUCAGAGGUGGAAUUCUUGGAUUGCGUUACGACAAACUACUGCGAAAGCAUUUGCCAAGGAUGUUUUCA
rnacentral:rRNA from 1 species